AUUUACUUCAAGAUGAAUUCAUUACCUUCUUGAGUUGUACCUGAAAUCAGUGUGAGAGCAGCUUCCGGAACACCACCCAGAGGGGGAGGGCUGUUUUCACCUGAAGUUGGUUCUUGAAGGAACAAGAAUGUCUGAGGGACCAGCUAAAACGAGUGGGGAUCCCCAAAGACGCCGCCACGCUCUGCGCCGGCGACCCCCACUCGCCCGGCUGACCGCGGUGGGACAUCAGCAUGGUACCUUGAAGGCUCUGAGCACCACCAGGGGGUCGUCACUGGUGAGUCGGCGCACGAGCGAGGGCCAGGCCCGAUGAGCCAAGGGAAGGAGCUGGUUCUUGUGGGACUGCAGCACAACCACGCACAAAUCCAGCACAUCCAAGACCUGAAAGAGGAGAGGAUUUGAUUUUAGCAGGGCGGGAGUUCGUCGCGGGAAGCGUGGAAGAGCGUUCCUGGACGUUCCUAGAGGUAGAGAUGGCAGCAAGGAAGACCCAGAGCAGGGCUCAGGGUACUAAGGCAGGGCCGUGGGCAGCGCGACACAGGAGGAGUAAGAGGGGCCCAGCCGUGAAGGUGUCACGUUAGAGAAUUUUUUAGUUUGUACCGAGUGCAGUGGGGAGCCAUCAGAAUGGGUUAAGCAGCAAAGGGCCAUGAUACAAUUCAUGUUUGAAAAAAGUCAUUCUGGCUGCUGAGUGGGGGAGGGGCAGGAGAGAUGCGAGUGGGCCCCCCCAGGAAGCAGGCACAUGCCCGCAGGAGAGGGCAGGAAUGUGGCCGCGGGGUGGUGGCAGCAUGAAGGGGUCUGAGGUCUGUCCUGGAGGUGUGUGUGUACUGAACGUGUACACGAGCUGUGUAGACGCUGACGGCCCCUGACAUCGGGGUUAUAAAGCGAGGUGUUGACAGGGACUGCCUGGAGUAAGGCUUAGCGACUGAACGGAUGCAGGCGCCGCUGGCUGAGACAGGAGCAGGCAGGGGAGGACGCUGAGAGGCUGAGAGGCUGAGAGGCUGGGUGAGGGCAUGUUCCCUUGCUUCUACAUGGAGAAGCCAAGUAGGCAGCCGAGGUAUAGGUCCACCUCAGAAGAAGGGUUCGGGGUGGCCUAGACGUAAACUGGAUUGUUUACCCUCCCCGAGAAUACAGGUCCUGACCUGGAGUUCAGAGGGAGACUACUACUGGCCUGCCUCAGUAUCCCCAGCAGGGGUCACGACGAUGAGCAGUGUGUCCUUUCCUCCCAGAGAUGGGCUGGCCUUCACAGAGCAGAGGGGAGGGUGCACAGCUGAGUCAGAGAGACUGAGGUCUGCUAACAGAGCAGUAAACCCCGCUGGAUGUCAGCUACGUGCUGGUCACACGGAGGCCAGAACAGCAACAAAGAACAAAAGAGGGCCCGCGCGUGAGGGGAAAGAGGCAGGCAGGGCAGGAAGAGAAGCCUGGGCGUGUACUGCACAGCAAGGCAGCCCAGAGGAAAGGGUGCUGCUACUGUGGGCUUCGAGUGAGUUCUGUCACUAACUGGGCAAGUUACGUCAGACACUCCUGAUUCCAAGUCAGACAUUUCUCCUUCUGCCUAAAACGCUCAUCUCUUUGCCUUGGCCCCUUCUCAUGGCUGGCUCCUUCUCUUGAGCCUUUAAGUCUUGGCUCAAAUAUCACCACCUCGGGAGAGGCCUUCCCUGAUGACCUGGCUAAAGCCGGGGCCGAAGCUCUGUCUUCUGCAACAGGGUUUGGCAGAGAAGGCUCCUAAUGCACAUUCACAGAUGGGGGUUUACUAUUUUCUAUCACAGAACCUGCUUAUUCUCUGCAGAGAUUUCUUCGCCUUCUAGGUGUGUAUAUGUGUAUUUCCCCGCGAGAGAAAGGAAGUUCCAUGAGGACAGGGACGCCUGCUUCACUUUAGUCUGUACAGCCUCUGCCUGACCUGCAGCAGAGCGCAACACACACUCGGCUAUAGCCGAGGCUCAGUGCUUCGUAUUUAUAAUCAACAACACAGUGAGGCAGGUCCCAUCACGCCCAUUUUACAGAAGAAGCAGAGGCUUAAACAGGUGAAGUACUUGCUCAAAGUCACAGAGGCAGAGCUAGGAUGUGAACUCAGAUAUGCAGGUCUGACUCCAAUGCCGGUGAUCUCAAUAACACGGUGUGGACACGGCUGCUACAGAGCCUCCGUGAAAGGGAAGACACUCGGGCUAAUGUAUUGCCUAGACACCUACCAUCAAGCCUUGCAUACAGCCGGCACUCAAAACAGUACUUGCUGCAUGCAACAAGAGAUGAAUGCUAAGAAGCUUCUCUGAGGAAAUGAAGUGCGUUCCACAAAGCACAGACCCCGGGAUCUGAGAUGAUCCCGGAGUGGGGUUUCUGAGCCCACCACCCCGAGCAGGACAGCGUGCUCUCAUCGCUAACAGUAACUCACUGAGGUAGCUGUGUUUCUCACAUCUGCUCCGGGGUGGGGAGGUCCAGGCCCCUCCCUGUGAAAGCUUCUCCCAGGUGAUUCUGAAAGCCCUGUCCCCACGCCCAGUCGCCCCACUGUCCAGUUUCACGAUUGCUUCGUUUAAGUCCUUGCUGAUGGGGAUGAUACUUGGGAAACUGCCGGCAAACGAGGAAGUACAAUUAAGAAAUGUGAGUGUUUUUCUGGGGAUGAACAUGGAAACAGACACAGAGAUAGGGGCCAGAGUCAGGCGUGGAAGAAUGACUGCUCCCAAGGAUUAAAACCCGCCUCCCCGCAAAAAAAAUAAAACCCGCCUCCCACAUGAAGUCACUUUAGAAAAUGAUAUCCUUUCCAAAGCAUAGGGCCUUCUUUCCCUUGGAGAGUCAACGGGUGUCCAAAACUUUGUUUUUUUAGUUCCACAAAGGGGACUUGGCUCCCUUUUGGCAUCUGAGCUGAUACAGAAGGCCAUAAGGCUGUCAUCCCACAGAUAAAUUCUUCCUGAUGCCUUCCCUUGGCCACAACACAUGGACCGGGAGAUAAGGGCAGCCUCUUGCUCAUCCAUGCCGUCCCUGGCAGCCAGAGCGACCCGGGGUCCUGCUGCCGUGCAAACGCGGGGAGAGGGCUGCACACUGACCUUCAAGCGGAUCGUCAGGUUCUUAUCGGACAGCAGGUGGAUGCAGCGCUCCAUCACAUCUUUGGCUAUCUGGAUCUGCACUGGCGGCGGGGGCUCCACAUCGGGACCAGUGUCACUCUCGUCCACCUUCGGAGGCUCUGACUGCUCCUCUGGAGAAAAAGCAUAACUGGGGACAGUGUUUUAUGAGAGAUGCCCCACUUCGAUGUGCUCUCCCAACCUCAGACGCAAGGAAUGGCGUUUACAAGGAACUGAUCCUAAGGAAACCAUAAAAAAUUUGGCCUGUAGGAUCUUUCGAUGGCCAAGAUCAGGCCUUACUGAUGUCUGCAUGAGAGAUCCCAGCGCGGCAGCCUGGUAGAAUACCCAGGGAGGGAGUUUGGUCAACGGUGGUCAGUUCAAGUCCUGACUGCACCCCUAUUAGCAACCUUCUCAUCCUACACUACUUCAUCCGGAAAAAAAGGUAUAAAGCACGCACACUUCAUUUGCUUGAGAGUUAAGUAAGAUGAAUGCCACCAGCUAUCAGCACUCUUCCACUGCCUAGAGUGCUGUGUUGCACAUGAUAGGCCUAAGUUUGUAAAUUAAAACAACAAUGAAAAGACCUGAGAAUUGCAUGAAACCCAGGCCAAAAUCCCUACCCUGGAAAAUUUUCCUCUAUGUACAUGCAGCCCCUCCACCGAGCUCCCGUUACUAGCUGUGCUCAUUUCCACUGAGCUGAACGUUGUGUCCUUCACUUUUUUCCAUUUCUGUUUCCUCUACUGGAAAAAACAGAAUCUUAUAGCAGAGGUCACACCUGUCUCUACCAGAUGCUGAAAAGAUAAAUGAAAAUGCAUUUGUAGAAUGCUUGGAUUUCUUGAAGAAAGGGUCCUCAGAUACACGAGGUGCUUUCAUUGUGGCUAAAACAAAAAACACAUGUCAGACCAACAUCAAGCCAAACAUUCUUUACAAUGCCAAGUCUGUGGUGUGAACUUGAUGAAUGAUAAUUAUAAGAAUGAUAAGGCUGUGCUUUUCUUCCCAGAGGAGGAUUUGUUGUUUGAAAUUCACCUAUUGCACAAUGUUAUUUGAGGGAUGUGGAUUUUUCCGUUACUGGGAGAAAGGUUGAUUCAUUCAGUCUGCUCCUAGCCAACAUCAACUAGAACCAGAAGAUCGUAAUCGUGAAAGAAUGGAUUCACAGACAAUACUAGAAUUUCAAACAAGAAUGGCAAAUCCGGAUUAUGAGGGAUCAUGAUGCCUCCCCUCCCUCUGAGUUUCUGGGUUUUGGUGUGGGGUGCAGGUCAGGAAAAGAAAGACUGGGUUGGCUUAAGAAAUAAAACCGAGAAGAAAAGGCCUCGCAAUAGACAUCUGAUCAGAAAACUGUCCUCGGGGAGGGCAAGAACUCCACUCCGCAUAAAUCAUUCCCUGGGCCCUGUGGUAAUUCCCUGACACACUAAAGGAACUGGCGGUAGUUAGAUGCAUCGAACAGACUAUUUCCUAUUAUCCUGGAAGUACUGGUUUUAGUUCACCAGAGUCUCGGAGUGGAGACCACCAAAAAAGAGAAAGAAUCCUGCUCCAUUCCACCCUAACAAACUAAUUUGGGACUCAGUGCGAUUUAGGAUAGUUCUGAGACCACCAAGCU